rnacentral:lncRNA from 1 species
AGGCAAGGCAGGAAGUCGAUGAAAACGGAAGAGCAAAUGCUCUAGUAAGGAGAAGCUGGGAAGGGGCCGUGUGUGGACUUCUAGGUCAGGGGCAGUUCAACGAUCUCUGAUUCACAUGAGAGCGGAGCCAGUCUUUGCAGUGGGAAAAUUGAUGAUGCAUCACAGCACAAACAAACAAGCUUCUCAAAGGAUGGGUCACAUGUCGAGAGAGCUGAAAAGCAAGAGCAGACAGGCUCUGGAGAAAGCCCAGUGAAGGAUUUUCUGAAGAAGAGAGCCUGCUUCCUGGAAAGCAGUCAGGAUUGUAUAGAACCUUUUCUGGACCACCUGCUUGGAACACCUUCCUGGCUUCUGCUCCCCAGAUGCCUGUCCCAGGCCUCAGAGAGCUCUUGGAAUUGGCCACUCCAGAGGGGUGAAGAUGCCCUGGUGGUGGUGGUGGUGUUCCAGAAAGGGGCGGGGCCUGCAGAACAGCCAGAAGACGUCAAUGUAGUGGUAAGAUGAGCAGAGAGAGGCGCCCUGGGAAUCUGAGGGGAUUGGAGAGUGUAGGGGCAAGUCAGUGAGCAGAGGCUCUGUAAUUUAUUCCAAAGGUAACUGGGAAUUUCCUGUAAGCACUUCCGGAAACAGCUGAGUUGUGUGGGAUACUGUCCACUUCACUUCUUGCAAGUGAGACACCCGACUACAGCUGCUCUCUCUUUUCUUCUUGUCAUUUGUCAUGCCAUUGAUCUUCUAAUUUGUACAUGUCACUGUCUGGAUAAAAACAUCUCUAGUAGCCCUCCAGUCCCUAAGGGCUGUGUUCGUUGUGCAUUCACAGCUCUGCUGAGCCUGGUCAUUCCUAACCAGUGUGUUUUUAUCUUCCUACAGAACACGUGGCUGCUGCCAAUUUCCACAGCUAUGUGCCUGGGCCUGCCAGGCAGAACUUUGCCUCCAUGCCAUUCUUCAUGCUGUUAAUCUACUGAAAACACCCUCUUCUCAUUUCUCUACUUGCUACGUUUUCUCUUCUAUUACAAUUUCUUCUCAAGUUUUGUCUGCUCCCCAAAUCUUGGUGAUCGGUUUUCCCAGCCUGGUCAUCUGAUGGAACACCUUUGAACCGAACAUCUUGCACCUGAUGUGCUUCAGUAUAUCUAUCUAAGUCCUGAAACCUCCUGUAAUGACUUCCAAAUUUUUGGAGUAAAAAGUUAUUUUUUCUUAUAAUAAGAGUAUCAUAUGCCUAUUUUAGAAAAAUUGGAAAAUGAAGACAAGUGCAAAGAAGAAAUUUUGAAUCACCUUUAAUUCCAUCAUUUUAUAAGACCCCCCUCCUUCUCAUGUAAGAACAUUUCAUGGAUUGCCCACAAAAUGUUUGCCUUUUUAGUAUUUUGAUUAAAAAGUUGUAUAAUGAACACAAAGCUACUAUGAUAUCAGUAAUGCUUUUAAAUGAAUUUAUACUUUAUUGUCAUGAUAAUAUUGCCAUACAUUUGAAUGGUAAUUCAUAUAUAGCAAGGUAUCUUGCCUGGAUUUGAGUUUGGUAAUACCCAUUCCUAGGGUUCUCUGUGUGUUCUGAAUAGAUAAACUUUCUUCUUUUUUGUGGAAUAUUAUGUCAUUGAGCUAGAAUUUGUAAACUCUAAAGAACUAGACAUUUAAAUAUAUACACCAAUAUAACAUUUGCAUAUCCAUGCAUAUAUUCACAAUCUUUUUAUGGUCUGUGUAUAUGUAUAUUAUGCCUGUCAUUUAUGUAAUCUGUGCAAAAACCAUGUGGCUGAACUACCAGUGAAGGUCAGUGUUUCCCAGCUGGCCAAUGGUUGCAUCAGAAUUACACAGAAACUCUUGACUUUUUUGCAUGCCUAGCACUAGAGUAGCCGAGGACUGUUAAAAAAAAAAAAAAAAAAAAAAACUUAGUGUUUUUAGCAAGGAAUGUCUUGCAUGCUAAAAGGGUUUUAUUCUGUUUCCCUUUGUCCCUGGCAAGCUGUGCAGCACUGCUCAAAAUGCCUCUUUUCGGUGAAGUUGGGCUUGUAGCCAGCUUAAUCUCUCCAUGGCAACUCUCUGUGGACAGGCUGAGCAAGAGGCAGCAGUACCCAGGCAUCAGGUCUAUCUGAGGCAUCCGAGGGAGCUGACGUCCAAGGAAAACAGGCACUAUGGCUCUGAUGCUUUCCUUGAAGUGGAGGGGAGACCCCCAUGGAAUAGUAAAGAUGAAGCUUCAGUGAAAAUGCAACCUAAACUUUGACUUUGGGGCCAUGAUAACCCAUAACAAAAAUGCUGCUCCAGGUUCACCAGGUUUGAUUACGUUCUGGGGUUGUGUAGAUUAAUUUGAAUACCAGUAGGAUAACAAAAUAGUUACAGUUAUUAAAAUAAAAGUCUGCCAAUAUGUCUCCCCUUCUAGAGCCUACUGGAGUGUGGAUAACAGUAAGAAUAAGCAAGUGAGAAAGUCAGAGAAGAUAAAUGUAAAGUGGUGAUUAUGGGAAGGUGGUCUGUAAAGCUAAUAAAAAAGAAUUUAGUCUAUUUCCUUAUAGAACUUCCUUCUUUCAGAUUUUCCCAUUGCAUAAAUUGCCCAAGAGGAU